rnacentral:rRNA from 1 species
AACGAACGCUGGCGGCAGGCUUAACACAUGCAAGUCGAGCGCCCCGCAAGGGGAGCGGCAGACGGGUGAGUAACGCGUGGGAAUCUACCCAUCUCUACGGAAUAACGCAUGGAAACGUGUGCCAAUACCGUAUACGUCCUUCGGGAGAAAGAUUUAUCGGAGAUGGAUGAGCCCGCGUUGGAUUAGCUAGUUGGUGGGGUAAAGGCCUACCAAGGCGACGAUCCAUAGCUGGUCUGAGAGGAUGAUCAGCCACACUGGGACUGAGACACGGCCCAGACUCCUACGGGAGGCAGCAGUGGGGAAUAUUGGACAAUGGGCGCAAGCCUGAUCCAGCCAUGCCGCGUGAGUGAUGAAGGCCCUAGGGUUGUAAAGCUCUUUCACCGGUGAAGAUAAUGACGGUAACCGGAGAAGAAGCCCCGGCUAACUUCGUGCCAGCCGCCGCUAAUAC